rnacentral:rRNA from 1 species
GAUGAACGCUGGCGGCGUGCCUAAUACAUGCAAGUCGAGCGAACAGACGAGGAGCUUGCUCCUCUGACGUUAGCGGCGGACGGGUGAGUAACACGUGGAUAACCUACCUAUAAGACUGGGAUAACUUCGGGAAACCGGAGCUAAUACCGGAUAAUAUAUUGAACCGCAUGGUUCAAUAGUGAAAGACGGUUUUGCUGUCACUUAUAGAUGGAUCCGCGCCGCAUUAGCUAGUUGGUAAGGUAACGGCUUACCAAGGCAACGAUGCGUAGCCGACCUGAGAGGGUGAUCGGCCACACGGGAACUGAGAAACGGUCCAGACUCCUACGGGAGGCAGCAGUAGGGAAUCUUCCGCAAUGGGCGAAAGCCUGACGGAGCAACGCCGCGGGAGUGAUGAAGGUCUUCGGAUCGUAAAACUCUGUUAUUAGGGAAGAACAAAUGUGUAAGUAACUAUGCACGUCUUGACGGUACCGAAUCAGAAAGCCACGGCUAACUACGUG